rnacentral:rRNA from 1 species
CACUCCUACGGGAGGCAGCAGUGGGGAAUUUUGGACGAUGGGCGAAAGCCUGAUCCAGCCAUGCCGCGUGCAGGAUGAAGGCCUUCGGGUUGUAAACUGCUUUUGUACGGAACGAAACGGCCUUUUCUAAUAAAGAGGGCUAAUGACGGUACCGUAAGAAUAAGCACCGGCUAACUACGUGCCAGCAGCCGCGGUAAUACGUAGGGUGCAAGCGUUAAUCGGAAUUACUGGGCGUAAAGCGUGCGCAGGCGGUUAUGUAAGACAGUUGUGAAAUCCCCGGGCUCAACCUGGGAACUGCAUCUGUGACUGCAUAGCUAGAGUACGGUAGAGGGGGAUGGAAUUCCGCGUGUAGCAGUGAAAUGCGUAGAUAUGCGGAGGAACACCGAUGGCGAAGGCAAUCCCCUGGACCUGUACUGACGCUCAUGCACGAAAGCGUGGGGAGCAAACAGGAUUAGAUACCCGGGUAGUCCCA